UACGCUGGCGGCACGCCUAACAAUGCAAGUCGAACGAAGUAGCAAUACUUAGUGGCAGACGGGUGAGUAACAUGUAGGUAUCUACCCUUUGGCCUGGAAUAACACGAGGAAACUUGUGCUAAUACCGGAUAAGUCUUUACGGAGAAAGCUUUAUGCACCAUUGGAUGAGCCUGCACUUGAUUAGUUUGUUGGUGGGGUAAUGGCCUACCAAGACUGUGAUCAAUAGCUGAUUUGAGAGGAUGAUCAGCCACAUUGGGACUGAGACACGGCCCAAACUCCUACGGGAGGCAGCAGUGGGGAAUCUUGCACAAUGGAGGAAACUCUGAUGCAGCGAUGCCGCGUGAGUGAAGAAGGCCCUUGGGUUGUAAAGCUCUUUCGUCGGGGAAGAAAAUG
rnacentral:rRNA from 1 species